rnacentral:misc_RNA from 1 species
GAUGAAGGAACGUAGCGAAAUGCGAUAAGUAAUGUGAAUUGCAGAAUUCAGUGAAUCAUCGAAUCUUUGAACGCACAUUGCGCCCGCCAGUAUUCUGGCGGGCAUGCCUGUUCGAGCGUCAUUUCAACCCUCAGGCCCCCAGUGCCUGGUGUUGGGGAUCGGCCCAGCCUUCCUGUAAGGCCGCCGGCCCCGAAAUCUAGUGGCGGUCUCGCUGUAGUCCUCCUCUGCGUAGUAGCACAACCUCGCAGUUGGAACGCGGCGGUGGCCAUGCCGUUAAACACCCCACUUCUGAAAGUUGACCUCGGAUCAGGUAGGAAUACCCGCUGAACUUAAGCAUAUCAAUAAGCGGAGGA